CCUAACACAUGCAAGUCGAACGGUAACAGGAAACAGCUUGCUGUUUCGCUGACGAGUGGCGGACGGGUGAGUAAUGUCUGGGAAACUGCCUGAUGGAGGGGGAUAACUACUGGAAACGGUAGCUAAUACCGCAUAACGUCGCAAGACCAAAGAGGGGGACCCUCGGGCCUCUUGCCAUCGGAUGUGCCCAGAUGGGAUUAGCUUGUUGGUGGGGUAACGGCUCACCAAGGCGACGAUCCCUAGCUGGUCUGAGAGGAUGACCAGCCACACUGGAACUGAGACACGGUCCAGACUCCUACGGGAGGCAGCAGUGGGGAAUAUUGCACAAUGGGCGCAAGCCUGAUGCAGCCAUGCCGCGUGUAUGAAGAAGGCCUUCGGGUUGUAAAGUACUUUCAGCGGGGAGGAAGGGAGUAAAGUUAAUACCUUUGCUCAUUGACGUUACCCGCAGAAGAAGCACCGGCUAACUCCGUGCCAGCAGCCGCGGUAAUACGGAGGGUGCAAGCGUUAAUCGGAAUUACUGGGCGUAAAGCGCACGCAGGCGGUUUGUUAAGUCAGAUGUGAAAUCCCCGGGCUCAACCUGGGAACUGCAUCUGAUACUGGCAAGCUUG
rnacentral:rRNA from 1 species